rnacentral:rRNA from 1 species
GAUGAACGCUGGCGGCGUGCUUAACACAUGCAAGUCGAACGGACUCAUAUUGAAACCUAGUGAAGUAUGAGUUAGUGGCGGACGGGUGAGUAACGCGUGGAAAACCUGCCGUAUACUGGGGGAUAACACUUAGAAAUAGGUGCUAAUACCGCAUAAGCGCACAGCUUCGCAUGAAGCAGUGUGAAAAACUGAGGUGGUAUACGAUGGUUCCGCGUCUGAUUAGCUAGUUGGUGGGGUAAAAGCCUACCAAGGCAACGAUCAGUAGCCGGCCUGAGAGGGUGAACGGCCACAUUGGGACUGAGACACGGCCCAA